rnacentral:misc_RNA from 1 species
UCGUAACAAGGUUUCUGUAGGUGAACCUGCAGAAGGAUCAUUAGUGAAAGUUUCGGGCCUGCCAUACGGACGCAAACACGUCUCUGGCGCCCAUCACUAUAUCCAUACCAACCCCUGUGCACUGUGAUGACGAAUGUCAUCGAACAAAAAAAAACUCGUAUGGUUGAAUGUACGUGAAAUUGUAGGUAUAGCCUACGAACUAUACACAACUUUCGACAACGGAUCUCUUGGUUCUCCCAUCGAUGAAGAACGCAGCGAAACGCGAUAGGUAAUGUGAAUUGCAGAAUUCCGUGAAUCAUCGAAUCUUUGAACGCACCUUGCGCUCCAUGGUAUUCCGUGGAGCAUGCCUGUUUGAGUGCCGCGAAUUCUCCCUCCCCUUACGGUGGCCGAAAGGCCGAAGUAGGGCGGACGGGGUAGGAUGGGUGUUUGCUGCCUGGGGAUUGUACCAGGCUCGCCCGAAAUGCAUAAGCGCCAGGACCCUCGCUACCGCUCUCUAGGGAAGAGUGGCUAAGCGACCGCUGAGCAUGGCAUGAUACGUCAUUUGCUGUGUGUGGGCGGCCGGUUGGAGAGGUGUCUGCUUUACCAGCCCUAUUUUAAUUCUGGUCUCAAAUCAGGUAGGAUCACCCGCUGAACCUAAGCAU